AGAGUUUGAUCAUGGCUCAGAACGAACGCUGGCGGCAGGCCUAACACAUGCAAGUCGAACGAGAAGCCACCUUCGGGUGGUGGACAGUGGCAGACGGGUGAGUAACGCGUGGGAACGUGCCUUUCGGUUCGGAAUAACCCAGGGAAACUUGGGCUAAUACCGGAUACGCCCUCCGGGGGAAAGAUUCAUCGCCGAAAGAUCGGCCCGCGUCGGAUUAGCUAGUUGGUGGGGUAAUGGCUCACCAAGGCGACGAUCCGUAGCUGGUCUGAGAGGAUGACCAGCCACACUGGGACUGAGACACGGCCCAGACUCCUACGGGAGGCAGCAGUGGGGAAUAUUGGACAAUGGGCGAAAGCCUGAUCCAGCCAUGCCGCGUGGGUGAAGAAGGCCUUAGGGUUGUAAAGCUCUUUUACCCGGGAUGAUAAUGACAGUACCGGGAGAAUAAGCCCCGGCUAACUCCGUGCCAGCAGCCGCGGUAAUUC
rnacentral:rRNA from 1 species